CACGUAGGGGGCAAGCGUUGUCCGGAUUUAUUGGGCGUAAAGAGCUCGUAGGUGGUUCGGUAAGUCAGGUGUGAAACCCCCAGGCUCAACCUGGAGACGCCACUUGAUACUGCUGUGACUGGAGUCCGGUAGGGGAGCGUGGAAUUCCUGGUGUAGCGGUGAAAUGCGCAGAUAUCAGGAGGAACACCAGCGGCGAAGGCGGCGCUCUGGGCCGGUACUGACACUGAGGAGCGAAAGCGUGGGUAGCAAACAGG
rnacentral:rRNA from 1 species